rnacentral:tRNA from 3 species
UGCCGAGAUGAGGAACAGAAAAACCUCCACAAACA